ACGAACGCUGGCGGCGUGCUUAACACCUGCAAGUCGAACGGUGAAGCGCCUUCCUUUUUGGUGGGUGUGGAUGAGUGGCGAACGGGUGAGUAACACGUGAGUAACCUGCCCCCUUCUUCUGGAUAACCGCAUGAAAGUGUGGCUAAUACGGGAUAUUCUGGGUCUGUCGCAUGAUGGGUCUGGGAAAGAUAUUGUUUCGGUGGGGGAUGGGCUCGCGGCCUAUCAGCUUGUUGGUGGGGUGACGGCCUACCAAGGCGGUGACGGGUAGCCGGCCUGAGAGGGUGGACGGUCACACUGGGACUGAGACACGGCCCAGACUCCUACGGGAGGCAGCAGUGGGGAAUAUUGCACAAUGGGCGCAAGCCUGAUGCAGCGACGCCGCGUGAGGGAUGGAGGCCUUCGGGUUGUGAACCUCUUUCGCCAGUGAAGCAGGCCUGCCUCGUUUGUGGGUGGGUUGACGGUAGCUGGAUAAGAAGCGCCGGCUAACUACGUG
rnacentral:rRNA from 1 species